UUUAAACGAAGCAGAUUUUUGCAUUUAACUGUUAAUUAUUUAGUAGCUUAACAAAGCCGUUUAAA
rnacentral:tRNA from 1 species